GAUGAAGAACGUAGCGAAAUGCGAUAAGUAAUGUGAAUUGCAGAAUUCAGUGAAUCAUCGAAUCUUUGAACGCACAUUGCGCCCCCUGGUAUUCCGGGGGGCAUGCCUGUUCGAGCGUCAUUUCACCACUCAAGCCUCGCUUGGUAUUGGGCAACGCGGUCCGCCGCGUGCCUCAAAUCGACCGGCUGGGUCUUCUGUCCCCUAAGCGUUGUGGAAACUAUUCGCUAAAGGGUGUUCGGGAGGCUACGCCGUAAAACAACCCCAUUUCUAAGGUUGACCUCGGAUCAGGAAGGGAUACCCGCUGAACUUAAGCAUAUCAAUAAGCGGAGGA
rnacentral:misc_RNA from 1 species